UGGAGUUGAAGUAAUAGAGGAGCAACUAAAGCAAAGAGAAGGAUAUCAGGAAAUACACAGCAUCAUGAAUAUUGGAAUGUAAUACAGCUCAAUACAAAAGUUGUAUAAAGAAGCCUCAAGUCCUGAUCAGAGAAGGAAGCUGUUGCUUCAGAAAUUUUUAGAGAAAUAUGCAUCAUUUGGUUCAGAUGAAGUGGAACGAUUUGACAAACUGCAUCCUACAUUUUGGAGAGAGUUGAGAAUGAAAUUAGAAGAUCAGAAACGUCUAGCUGAUCAAACAUGGGCGCUGGAGGAAACAAUUCCUGGUGUAGAUACGAAUCGCUUCUUGCCAAGAGACAUUGAAUACAUCCGAGGUGGUUAUUUAAAUUACUUGGAUAUGAUCGCUCAGGACUAGACAGUUUUCAUCCUUCCACCAUGAGGAUGAAGUGCGUUUGUGUGUGUGUGUGGGAGGGUGGGGGUGGGGGGCGGGGUAUUGAUACGGGGCCCACCUUGUUAGGCUCAGGGGAGUUAACAUUCACCAUAAGGUGUAGAAAUAAUUAGGAAAGUUUAUUUAGGGAAAGUUGACUGAUUCGAAUUUAGAUUGGGAGUAAAUUAUGAAAGGUUUAUUAAAGGAAAGAGGACAGAUUUGAAUUCAAAUUUGGGUGGGAAAUAUGAUGGUUUAUUUAAGGUUAAUGAGGUUGUUUUAUUUUCAUUAUGUGAUUUAUGUGUUUGUUGUAGUUUUUUUUGGAGUUAUUCCUAGCGGCGCAUAGGGUUUGUGGGAGAGUCGAUAUACCUAUGGAAUAGUAGAUCACUUGUAUCGUUCAUUAUUUGUUGAAGAUAUUAUAAAAAAUCAGCCCUAAUAUUUGGCCCUUGUAUUUUUCUUCUUAUCUACUUGCGAUUUUUACUUCAAAGACGCAUCAAUUUGCCUACACAAAAUGCAUUGCUUACUUUGUUCAUCAGUUAUAACUCAAAGAGAAAGUAGUUGCCGACUAUAAUAUGGAGAGAAAUAGAGGAGAAGAGGCUCAAAACAGUUGCAAUGUCGUUGUUGGGGUCGGAACUUGUGAUGGCUUGCAGUGGAAAGGGAUGAAGAAGUUAUGCUAGAGGGGGACAACAAUGACCAGAACGAAGUAUCAAGGGGCUUGUGAUGGCUUUUCUUCCAAUGGAGAAAGCUUGCACUAACAAUAAUUGGGAAGAAGAGAGCUUGCAAUGGCUUUUCUUGUGGUGAGAAAAAAAAAAA